rnacentral:rRNA from 1 species
UACGGAGGGGGCGAGCGUUAUUCGGAAUUAUUGGGCGUAAAGCGUCCGUAGGUGGUUUAGUAAGUCUGCUGUUAAAGCGCGGGGCUUAACUCCGUAUCGGCAGUGGAAACUACUAGACUAGAGUGUGGUAGGGGUAGAGGGAAUUCCCAGUGUAGCGGUGAAAUGCGUAGAUAUUGGGAAGAACACCGGUGGCGAAGGCGCUCUACUGGGCCAUAACUGACACUGAUGGACGAAAGCUAGGGGAGCGAAAGGG